rnacentral:tRNA from 1 species
AUUUAGGUAGUUUAAAAAAAAAAAUAAAAGUUUGUGGAACUUUAGAAGAAUUAUUUCCCUUAGUA